rnacentral:lncRNA from 10 species
ACAACAGUUUUAGCAGGGCUCUCUUUCUCCUUUCCUGAUCUCUCUGUUAAGCUGCCUGGCUCAUUUGAUAUCACAUCCAAAUUAUCAGCUGAUUGCUCUAUUGUUUUGGACAAUGCCCUGAAGCAUACCAAAAUGUGUCUGGAAUUGGUGGGUUCUUGGUCUUACUGACUUUAAGAAUGAAGUUGCGGACUUUUGCGAUGUGUGAACCUCCAGAACUGUGAAAUAAACAACCUCAGUCAACAUCAAGCAGAAUUCAAAGAAGUCUAAAGUCUUAAUAAUUGUCUGUUCAGUCUGGGAGGAAAGGACUAAAAUGGCAUGAAUCCAGGUGAUCCACCCUACCACAUAUUGUCUCCUAAUGGCCGUCCAGUUUAUCCUGGAGCCCUUGCAUGACACAGGCCUAUCGAAGCAUAGGAGAUGCCAAUAUUUUACCUCUUGGGUACUUUCUGUGUAGAAGAUUCAUAACAAGAACAAUACUUAUUCUGCAAUUCUUUAUAUAAAGCUCCAGAGGGAAGUGAGAAGGAUGUUCACUUGCUGGUGAGAGAAGGAGCUGGUUCCAUCCAUUACGCAGUCCCCUGGG